rnacentral:rRNA from 1 species
GAUUAUGGCUCAGAACGAACGCUGGCGGCAGGUCUUAGGCAUGCAAGUCGAACGGAUGACAGAGAGCUUGCUCUCUGAAGUCAGUGGCGCACGAGUGAGUAACGCGUGGGAAACUGCCCUUCACUGGGGAAUAACGUUUGGAAACGAACGCUAAUACCGCAUACGCCCGCAAGGGGAAAGAUUUAUCGGUGAUGGAUGUGCCCGCGUUGGAUUAGCUAGUUGGUGGGGUAAUGGCCUACCAAGGCGAUGAUCCAUAGCUGGUCUGAGAGGACGAUCAGCCACGCUGGAACUGAGACACGGUCCAGACUCCUACGGGAGGCAGCAGCUAAGAAUAUUGGGCAAUGGAGGAAACUCUGACCCAGCCAAUGCCGCGUGAAUGAAGAAGGCCUUCGGGUUGUAAAGUUCCUUUAGUCAUGAAGAUGAUGACAGUAGUGACAGAAAAAGCACCGGCUAACUUCGUGCCAGCCGCUGC